rnacentral:lncRNA from 1 species
GAUCACGAGAUAGCCAGUAACUAGGACGAGGUAUCCUUGUAGACUUGUGUCCAUCUUUUGGUAGGUGUCUCGGCAUUCAGUAGCAGUACAUUCAUCUGAGUCCCUCCGUUGGAAAUCGAGUCUUCUUUUUGAGAUGUAUAGACAAACUUGAUGUAAAUUAUUAAGAUACAUGUUGUAGACAAUGUAUGUAUAUUUUAAAUGAGUAAUGUCAGUACGAG